CCUACGGGCGGCAGCAGUGGGGGAUAUUGGACAAUGGGGGAAACCCUGAUCCAGCGACGCCGCGUGAGUGAAGAAGUAUUUCGGUAUGUAAAGCUCUGUCAGCAGGGAAGAAAGAAAUGACGGUACUUGACCAAGAAGCCCCGGCUAACUACGUGCCAGCAGCCGCGGUAAUACGUAGGGGGCAAGCGUUAUCCGGAAUUACUGGGGGUAAAGGGGGCGUAGACGGUGGUGCAAGUCUGGAGUGAAAGGCGGUGGCCCAACCCCCGGACUGCUCUGGAAACUGUGUAACUUGAGUGCAGGAGAGGUAAGCGGAAUUCCGAGUGUAGCGGUGAAAUGCGUAGAUAUUAGGAGGAACACCAGUGGCGAAGGCGGCUUACUGGACUGUAACUGACGUUGAGGCUCGAAAGCGUGGGGAGCAAACAGGAUUAGAUACCCCUGUAGUC
rnacentral:rRNA from 1 species